rnacentral:rRNA from 1 species
CACACAGCUCACUAUCACGUGGCUAACCUGCCCUUGGGAUAGGAACACCCCCGGGAAACUGGGGCUAAUUCCCAAUAGGCGAAGAACUCUGGAAUGAGUCUUCACCAGAAAAGACUCCUGCAUUAUGCUUGUAGGUUUCGCCCAAGGAUGGGGCCGCGACCGAUCAGGUUGUUGGUGAGGUAAUGGCUCACCAAGCCUUUUACCGGUGCGGGCCGUGAGAGCGGGAGCCCGGAGAUGGGCACUGAGACAAGGGCCCAGGUCCUACGGGGCGCAGCAGUCGCGAAAACUUUGCAAUACACGCAAGUGUGACAGGGCUAUCCCGAGUGCCAUCCGCUGAGGAAGGCUUUUACCCAGUCUAGAACGCUGGGGGAAUAAGGAGAGGGCAAGUCUGGUGUCAGCCGCCGCGGUAAUACCAGCUCUUCGAGUGGUGUGGAUGUUUAUUGGGCCUAAAGCAUCCGUAGCUGGCCAAGUUAGUCCUUUGUUAAAUCCACCGAAUUAAUCGUUGGAUUGCGGGGGAUACUGCUUGGCUAGGGGACGAGAGAGGCAGACGGUAUUUUCGGGGUAGGGGUGAAAUCCUAUAAUCCCGGGAAGACCACCAGUGGCGAAGGCUGUCUGCUAGAACGCGCCCGACGGUGAGGGAUGAAAGCUGGGGGAGCGAACC